AGUGAACGCUGGCGGUAGGCCUAACACAUGCAAGUCGAACGGCAGCACAGUAAGAUCUUGCUCUUACGGGUGGCGAGUGGCGGACGGGUGAGGAAUACAUCGGAAUCUACUUUUUCGUGGGGAUAACGUAGGGAAACUUACGCUACUACCGCAUACGACCUACGGGUGAAAGCAGGUGAUCUUCGGACCUUGCGCGAUUGAAUGAGCCGAUGUCGGAUUAGCUAGUUGGCGGGGUAAAGGCCCACCACGGCGACGAUCCGUAGCUGAUCUGAGAGGAUGAUAGGCCACACUGGAACUGAGACACGGUCCAGACUCCUACGGGAGGCAGCAGUGGGGAAUAUUGGGCAAUGGGCGCAAGCCUGAUCCAGCCAUACCGCGUGGGUGAAGAAGGCCUUCGGGUUGUAAAGCCCUUUUGUUGGGAAAGAAAAGCAGCAGGUUAAUACCCCGCUGUUCUGACGGUACCCAAAGAAUAAGCACCGGCUAACUUCGUG
rnacentral:rRNA from 1 species